rnacentral:tRNA from 1 species
GUACCUUUAGCUCAGUUGGUUAGAGCAGACGGCUCAUAACCGUCCGGUCGUAGGUUCGAAUCCUACAGGGUACA